UACGGAGGGUGCAAGCGUUGUUCGGAAUUACUGGGCGUAAAGCGCGUGUAGGCGGCCUCUUAAGUCUGGUGUGAAAGCCCGGGGCUUAACCCCGGAAGGGCACUGGAUACUGGGGGGCUUGAGUACCGGAGAGGAAGGUGGAAUUCCUGGUGUAGCGGUGAAAUGCGUAGAUAUCAGGAGGAACACCGGUGGCGAAGGCGGCCUUCUGGACGGCUACUGACGCUGAGACGCGAAAGCGUGGGGAGCAAACAGG
rnacentral:rRNA from 1 species